GAUGAACGCUGGCGGCGUGCCUAAUACAUGCAAGUCGAGCGAACGGACGAGAAGCUUGCUUCUCUGAUGUUAGCGGCGGACGGGUGAGUAACACGUGGAUAACCUACCUAUAAGACUGGGAUAACUUCGGGAAACCGUAGCUAAUACCGGAUAAUAUUUUGAACCGCAUGGUUCAAAAGUGAAAGACGGUCUUGCUGUCACUUAUAGAUGGAUCCGCGCUGCAUUAGCUAGUUGGUAAGGUAACGGCUUACCAAGGCAACGAUGCAUAGCCGACCUGAGAGGGUGAUCGGCCGCACUGGAACGGAGACACGGUCCAGACUACUACGGGAGGCAGCAGUAGGGAAUCUUCCGCAAUGGGCGAAAGCCUGACGGAGCAACGCCGCGUGAGUGAUGAAGGUCUUCGGAUCGUAAAACUCUGUUAUUAGGGAAGAACAUAUGUGUAAGUAACUGUGCACAUCUUGACGGUACCUAAUCAGAAAGCCACGGCUAACUACGUG
rnacentral:rRNA from 1 species